rnacentral:rRNA from 1 species
CCUACGGGGGGCAGCAGUAGGGAAUCUUCCACAAUGGGCGAAAGCCUGAUGGAGCAACGCCGCGUGGGUGAAGAAGGUCUUCGGAUCGUAAAACCCUGUUGUUAGAGAAGAAAGUGCGUGAGAGUAACUGUUCACGUGUCGACGGUAUCGAACCAGAAAGCCACGGCUAACUCCGUGCCAGCAGCCGCGGUAAUACGUAGGUGGCAAGCGUUAUCCGGAUUUAUUGGGCGUAAAGGGAACGCAGGCGGUCUUUUAAGUCUGAUGUGAAAGCCUUCGGCUUAACCGGAGAAGUGCAUUGGAAACUGGGAGACUUGAGUGCAGAAGAGGUGAGUGGAACUCCAUGUGUAGCGGUGAAAUGCGUAGAUAUAUGGAAGAACCCCAGUGGCGCACGCGGCUCUCUGGUCUGUAACUGACGCUGAGGUUCGAAAGCGUGGGUAGCAAACAGGAUUAGAUACCCCAGUAGUC